CACGUAGUUAGCCGGGGCUUCUUGGUCAGGUACCGUCUUGCUUCUUCCCUGCUGAUAGAGCUUUACAUACCGGAGUACUCCUUCACUCACGCGGCGUCGCUGCAUCAGGCUUGCGCCCAUUGUGCAAUAUUCCCCACUGCUGCCUCCCGUAGGAGUCUGGGCCGUGUCUCAGUCCCAGUGUGGCCGGUCGCCCUCUCAGGCCGGCUACCCGUCGUCGCCUUGGUGAGCCGUUACCUCACCAACAAGCUGAUAGGCCGCGGGCUCAUCCUGCACCGCCGGAGCUUUCCACCACCAUGAGAUGCCUCAGAUGGUCGUAUCCGGUAUUACGACCCCGUUUCCGAGGGCUUGUCCCAGAGUGCAGGGCAGAUUGCCCACGUCGUUACUCACCCGUUCGCCACUAAUCCACCCCGAAGGGCUUCAUCGUUCGACUUGCAUGUGUUAAGCACGCCGCCAGCGUUCGUCC
rnacentral:rRNA from 1 species